rnacentral:rRNA from 1 species
AUCUGGCGUUGACUCCAUUGAACCGCGGCUUCAUCCCUUGUGGUGCUCCCCCGCCAAUUCCUUAAGUUUCAUACUUGCGUACGUACUUCCCAGGCGGCAGACUUAACGGCUUCCCUGCGGCACUGCAUUGGCCACAAGCCAAUGCAUCACCGAGUCUGCAUCGUUUACAGCUGGGACUACCCGGGUAUCUAAUCCGGUUUGCUCCCCCAGCUUUCAUCCCUCACCGUCGAACGUGUUCUGGUACACCGCCUUCGCCACAGGUGGUCUUCAAUAGAUCAAAGGAUUUUACCCCUUCCUAUCGAGUACCGUGUACCUCUCCCACUCCCUAGCUGCACAGUAUUUUCGGCGGCCUAUACGUUAAGCGCAUAGAUUUAACCGAAAACUUAUGCAACCGGCUACGGAUGCUUUAGGCCCAAUAAACCUCCUGACCACUCGAGGUGCUGGUUUUACCGCGGCGGCUGACACCAGAACUUGCCCACCCCUUAUUCACCAGUGAUUCUACAACUGACAAAAGACUCCUUUAGCAGGAGACACUCGGAUUAACCUUGUCGUGCUUUCGCACAUUGCAAAGGUUCUCGCCUGCUGCGCCCCAUAGGGCCUGGGUCCGGUCCAGUACCAUCUCCGGGCCCUCUCUCA